rfam:Hordeum vulgare subsp. vulgare, WGS project CAJW01000000 data, contig: morex_contig_156773
CUUAUACUCCUUCCGUUUUAAAAUUCCUGUCUUAGAUUUGUCUAGAUAUGAAUGUAUCUAGUCACGUUUUACUAUUUCGAUACAUCCAUUUCUAGACUAAUUUAAGACAGGAAUUUUAGGACGGAAGGAGUAUUUA